ensembl:lncRNA
CCAGCCUCUCACGGAGACACCGGGUCAGCGAACCAUGACACACGGGGACCUGAUGAGUCUCCCAAACAUAAGGACAGGAAGGAGGUCAGCUCAGGGGAGAGACUCCAGCUCUGUGAUAUUCCAGAACGGCACAGAAACGAUUAAAAAAAAAAAAAAAUCCAGGCUCGGAGGUACUCAUCUGUAAUCCCGGCGCUCUUCCAGUCAAUGGGGGAUGGAGACAGGACAAUCAGUCAGAAGCUUGCAGGCCAGGAGUGGGGACGCUGGGCAACAGAAGAGAGAUCCUACCUUAGUACAGUGGAGGGCCGGAGCAACAGACAUGCACCGCUGUGCCGAGUGGCAAGGUCUAACUCGGGUCUUAACGCUCGUGUGGAAAUCAUUUGCCAGCAGAGUCCUAAGAUUGCAGCCUCCGUAUUGCUGGAUAAGAUGUGCUCGUGUAGCUGGCCUGCAUGUCACAUAUCCCCUGGCCCAUCCUGAGACGUCUGCCUCAUUCUUGGUCAUAUUGCACAGUGUGCCUGUUCCAGUGUCCAC